rnacentral:pre_miRNA from 11 species
UGCAAUUGCUUGACAAAGAGAGAGAGCACACUUGUUAGCAUUCAUGUGAGGUAACAUGACUGUGUACAGGUGUGCUUUCUCUCGCUGUCAUACAAUCUUCUC